rnacentral:rRNA from 1 species
AUUGAACGCUGGCGGCAUGCUUUACACAUGCAAGUCGAACGGUAACAGGUUAAGCUGACGAGUGGCGAACGGGUGAGUAAUGCAUCGGAACGUGCCCGAUCGUGGGGGAUAACGCAGCGAAAGCUGCGCUAAUACCGCAUACGAUCUGAGGAUGAAAGCGGGGGACCGUAAGGCCUCGCGCGAUCGGAGCGGCCGAUGUCAGAUUAGGUAGUUGGUGGGGUAAAGGCUCACCAAGCCAACGAGCUGUAGCUGGUCUGAGAGGACGACCAGCCACACUGGGACUGAGACACGGCCCAGACUCCUACGGGAGGCAGCAGUGGGGAAUUUUGGACAAUGGGCGAAAGCCUGAUUCAGCAAUGCCGCGUGCAGGAAGAAGGCCUUCGGGUUGUAAACUGCUUCUGUACGGAACGAAAAGGUUUGGCCUAAUAAGCUGAGCUCAUGACGGUACCGUAAGAAUAAGCACCGGCUAACUACGUGCCAGCAGCCGCGGUAA